rnacentral:rRNA from 1 species
GACGAACGCUGGCGGCGUGCUUAACACAUGCAAGUCGAACGGAAAGGCCCUGCUUUUGUGGGGUGCUCGAGUGGCGAACGGGUGAGUAACACGUGAGUAACCUGCCCUUGACUUUGGGAUAACUUCAGGAAACUGGGGCUAAUACCGGAUAGGAGCUCCUGCUGCAUGGUGGGGGUUGGAAAGUUUCGGCGGUUGGGGAUGGACUCGCGGCUUAUCAGCUUGUUGGUGGGGUAGUGGCUUACCAAGGCUUUGACGGGUAGCCGGCCUGAGAGGGUGACCGGCCACAUUGGGACUGAGAUACUGCCCAUACUCCUACGGGAGGCAUCAGUGGGGAAUAUUGCACAAUGGGCGGAAGCCUGAUGCAGCAACGCCGCGUGCGGGAUGACGGCCUUCGGGUUGUAAACCGCUUUCGCCUGUGACGAAGCGUGAGUGACGGUAAUGGGUAAAGAAGCACCGGCUAACUACGUU